GAUCACGGUGGCCGGGUUCUUUGGAUAAAUCGCCUCAUAAGCGGGCGAGGGCCUGCGGUCUUCAUGCGCCGCGCGAUCUUCAUGCGCCGCGAUCGCCA
rnacentral:tRNA from 1 species